ensembl:snRNA U6 U6 spliceosomal RNA
UUGUACCUUUAAUUAUACUCAUAUACUACAAAUGGAACAGCACAGAGAAGGUUAGCAUGGCACCUGCACAACGAUGACACACAGAUUCAUGAAGCAUUCCAUAUAUUU